rnacentral:tRNA from 1 species
GGAAGUGUGGCAGAGUCUGGUUUAUUGCGUCAGUCUUGAAAACUGAAGAGCCCUCACGGGCUCCGUGGGUUCGAAUCCUACCACUUCCGCCA